rnacentral:lncRNA from 1 species
GCAGAAAUGGACAACUACCCUAUGCUUUCGGAGAAUUUGGCUCAUGGAUUGAUCUCAAGGCACUACGCUCAGAAGGACUUUGACAGGAGAGUCCAGAGGUGAGGUCCAAAUCCAACAGAAGUUGUUUGUAGUUUUCGCAGCAAAUCACCUGUCACCGUGCAUCAGGAAAGUGAGCAGCCUCACAAAGCAGGCGCUUCACUCCCAGGUUAGUGGCGAGCACACAGGUAAUCAAAUGCAGAAGGUGUUCUGUAAACCACACAGUGCUAAA